rnacentral:ncRNA from 1 species
CGGCCACCGGGACGCAUCGAUCUUCGGACCGCAACACGGUCGCCGCACCGGCCCUUCUCGGAGGGUCGGCAGGUCCGAGGGGAGUGAGUGGCGAGACCGACCCGGCCUG